CCCCAUGUGGCUCAGUUGGUAGAGCAUGGUGUUUGCAACGCCAGGGUUGUGGGUUCGAUUCCCACGGGGG
rnacentral:tRNA from 1 species